rnacentral:rRNA from 1 species
AGCGAACGCUGGCGGCAGGCCUAACACAUGCAAGUCGAACGAACUCUUCGGAGUUAGUGGCGGACGGGUGAGUAACACGUGGGAACGUGCCUUUAGGUUCGGAAUAACGCAGGGAAACUUGUGCUAAUACCGAAGGUGCCCUUCGGGGGAAAGAUUGAUCGCCUUUAGAGCGGCCCGCGUCUGAUUAGCUAGUUGGUGAGGUAAAGGCUCACCAAGGCGACGAUCAGUAGCUGGUAUGAGCGGAUGACCAGCCAAAUUGGGACUGAGACACGGCCCAAACUCCGAUGGGAGGCAGCGGUGGGGAAUAUUGCGCCAAGGGGGAAACCGUGACGAAGCACCGCCGCGUGAAGAAUAAAGGUUUCCGGAUCGUAAGCUUCUUGGAUGAGGGACGAAAAAAAUGACGGUACCUCAAAAACAAGCCACGGCUAACUACGUGCCAGCAGCCGCCGUAAUAC